rnacentral:rRNA from 1 species
GACGAACGCUGGCGGCGUGCCUAAUACAUGCAAGUAGAACGCUGAAGGAGGAGCUUGCUCUUCUGGAUGAGUUGCGAACGGGUGAGUAACGCGUAGGUAACCUGCCUGGUAGCGGGGGAUAACUAUUGGAAACGAUAGCUAAUACCGCAUAACAGUAGAUGUUGCAUGACAUUUACUUAAAAGUUGCAAUUGCAUCACUACCAGAUGGACCUGCGUUGUAUUAGCUAGUUGGUGGGGUAACGGCUCACCAAGGCGACGAUACAUAGCCGACCUGAGAGGGUGAUCGGCCACACUGGGACUGAGACACGGCCCAGACUCCUACGGGAGGCAGCAGUAGGGAAUCUUCGGCAAUGGACGGAAGUCUGACCGAGCAACGCCGCGUGAGUGAAGAAGGUUUUCGGAUCGUAAAGCUCUGUUGUAAGAGAAGAACGAGUGUGAGAGUGGAAAGUUCACACUGUGACGGUAUCUUACCAGAAAGGGACGGCUAACUACGU